GUCCACGCCGUAAACGAUGUCAACUAGUUGUUGGAACCCUUGAGGUUUUAGUAACGCAGCUAACGCACUAAGUUGACCGCCUGGGGAGUACGGCCGCAAGGUUAAAACUCAAAUGAAUUGACGGGGGCCCGCACAAGCGGUGGAGCAUGUGGUUUAAUUCGAUGCAACGCGAAGAACCUUACCUACUCUUGACAUCCAGAGAAUUUGCUAGAGAUAGCUUAGUGCCUUCGGGAACUCUGAGACAGGUGCUGCAUGGCU
rnacentral:rRNA from 1 species